rnacentral:rRNA from 1 species
AUAGGGGAGCCGCAGGGAAACCGAGUCUUAACUGGGCGUUAAGUUGCAGGGUAUAGACCCGAAACCCGGUGAUCUAGCCAUGGGCAGGUUGAAGGUUGGGUAACACUAACUGGAGGACCGAACCGACUAAUGUUGAAAAAUUAGCGGAUGACUUGUGGCUGGGGGUGAAAGGCCAAUCAAACCGGGAGAUAGCUGGUUCUCCCCGAAAGCUAUUUAGGUAGCGCCUCGUGAACUCAUCUUCGGGGGUAGAGCACUGUUUCGGCUAGGGGGUCAUCCCGACUUACCAACCCGAUGCAAACUACGAAUACCGAAGAAUGUUAUCACGGGAGACACACGGCGGGUGCUAACGUCCGUCGUGAAGAGGGAAACAACCCAGACCGCCAGCUAAGGUCCCAAAGUCAUGGUUAAGUGGGAAACGAUGUGGGAAGGCCCAGACAGCCAGGAUGUUGGCUUAGAAGCAGCCAUCAUUUAAAGAAAGCGUAAUAGCUCACUGGUCGAGUCGGCCUGCGCGGAAGAUGUAACGGGGCUAAACCAUGCACCGAAGCUGCGGCAGCGACACUAUGUGUUGUUGGGUAGGGGAGCGUUCUGUAAGCCGUUGAAGGUGGCCUGUGAGGGUUGCUGGAGGUAUCAGAAGUGCGAAUGCUGACAUAAGUAACGAUAAUGCGGGUGAAAAACCCGCACGCCGGAAGACCAAGGGUUCCUGUCCAACGUUAAUCGGGGCAGGGUGAGUCGACCCCUAAGGCGAGGCCGAAAGGCGUAGUCGAUGGGAAACAGGUUAAUAUUCCUGUACUUGGUGUUACUGCGAAGGGGGGACGGAGAAGGCUAUGUUGGCCGGGCGACGGUUGUCCCGGUUUAAGCAUGUAGGCGGAUGUUCCAGGUAAAUCCGGAACGU